UGUUAUAUACAUAUGACCCUGCAGCCCAAGACCGAUUACUAACUGAAGCUAAGCAGUGCUGAGCCUGGUUAGUACCUGGAUGGGAGACCACAUGGGAGCACUAGGUUGUUGUUGGAA
rnacentral:rRNA from 1 species